CGGCCGCGUCGACUGAAGCUAAGGCUGUGGCUCAACCAUAGUUCGCUUUGGAAACUGUCAAACUUGAGUGCAGAAGAGGAGAGUGGAAUUCCAUGUGUAGCGGUGAAAUGCGCAGAGAUAUGGAGGAACACCAGUGGCGAACGGCGGCUCUCUGGUCUGUUACUGACGCUGAGGUGCGAAAGCGUGGGGAUCAAACAGGAUUAGGUACCCUGGUAGUCCACGCCGUAAACGAUGAGUGCUAAGUGUUAGGGGGUUUCCG
rnacentral:rRNA from 1 species